rnacentral:rRNA from 1 species
AAUGAACGCUGGCGGCAUGCCUAACACAUGCAAGUCGAACGAAGGCAUCGGCCUUAGUGGCGCACGGGUGCGUAACGCGUGGGAAUCUGCCCUCAGGUUCGGACUAACAGCGAGAAAUUGCUGCUAAUACCGGAUGAUAUCGCGAGAUCAAAGAUUUAUCGCCUGAGGAUGAGCCCGCGUAGGAUUAGCUAGUUGGUGUGGUAAAGGCGCACCAAGGCGACGAUCAUUAGCUGGUCUGAGAGGAUGAUCAGCCACACUGGGACUGAGACACGGCCCAGACUCCUACGGGAGGCAGCAGUGGGGAAUAUUGGACAAUGGGCGAAAGCCUGAUCCAGCAAUGCCGCGUGAGUGAUGAAGGCCUUAGGGUUGUAAAGCUCUUUUACCCGGGAUGAUAAUGACAGUACCGGGAGAAUAAGCUCCGGCUAACCCCGUGCCAGCCGCCGCCGUAA